ensembl:lncRNA
UUAAAAUCUCAUUAAAUGGGAAGAGGAUUAGUAGAGCAGAAUCUCUACGCUGCUCAGUGUCAGAGACUAAAUGCAGCUGAAUAACCACAGUAGCUUCAGCUAUGUUAGAAAUUUUCAUCUGCAUUGAGUCUAACAGCCAAGGCUGUUAUUGAGCAGGGUGGGAACACGGGUAACUAGCAAGCUAAGGAAAAGAAAGAGAAGGCACUGCGUUGAUGCUUGCAGGGUAAGACUGGACAAGAAAUGGAGACAAUGGCUGAAUGCUUACAUGCUGGAGACCAAGGUUUGGAAGUGCUGCCUGCAUGUUUAUCAAGACUCCCAGAAUCAUUUCAGGACGACCGAGGUGUUUCAGAUGCUGAGCGUACUGGCACCCUUUCCUGAGCUGGAUCAAGGACGGUUCUCUGCAAACGAAGCAGAAGCAGCUGUGGAGCUGCAGCCUCCUGGAAGCAGAGCCUCAGAUGCUCGCUGCUACCACCCACCUUUGCCCGGUACAGCACAGUACAUCCAAGUUACAGCAAAGCAAACAAAGAAACAAAGCAGAAUUUAUUCAUUAUUCCUGGGUUUGUUACCCACGUUGUGAAUAAGCCAUGCUAUGCAUGUAGCGGUGCCUACACCGGUUCUGCACCUCCCAGCCUGACUGAGGGGACUCUCCUGCCAGAGCACAGAGCACAUCGCUUCUGGAAAGGACUGGGAUUCUUCCAGGGCCAUCUUGGGCCCAGACCCACUUCCAUCAGCCAGGUUUUCCUUCUUUCAAUUUUGCAGCUCCCCACUUCCCCUAAUAACGGAGAGCUGAUUAUGUUUUAAUUUCACAGAUGAUUACGUUUAGGGUAUUACAUUCGCAGAAGAUUAAAUUGCAGGUUGCAGAGAAACAGCCAGGUUCAGGCACGAACCAAAGAAAGGUCUUACUUAGACUAAUGGGCACAUUAAGGGAAUGAAGUUAUAGCUAUUUUUGUUAUUUGACGCCGAACUAUUUGGGGACACGGUAUCCCGUGUGCGCCUGGCUCCAUCACUUUUCUGCUUUAUGGCCCCUUUCUCUUUCCUGGGUUCUGCCCACGCCUUUGUUAAUCCACCCUCCUAACAAAUAAAUGCUCUGACUGUGAGUUCAUGUGCACCAGAGAGCUGCUUCUGAUUUAUAGUAAGGCGAGCUAGAACAGCACUUAGGUCAGGAUAUCGGUUUUAGUGUACAAACUCCUGAGUGUGAAAAUCCCCCCCCGGGAGGCAUCGUAAAGGAGUGGGGUUUGAUUUUCA